rnacentral:rRNA from 1 species
UACGUAGGGAGCAAGCGUUGUUCGGAUUUACUGGGCGUAAAGGGCGCGUAGGCGGCGUGUCAAGUCACUUGUGAAAUCUCCGGGCUUAACUCGGAACGGUCAAGUGAUACUGUCAUGCUAGAGUGCAGAAAGGGCAAUCGGAAUUCUUGGUGUAGCGGUGAAAUGCGUAGAUAUCAAGAGGAACACCUGAGGCGAAGGCGGGUCGCUAGGCUGACACUGACGCUCAAGCGCGAAAGCCCAGGGGAGCAAACGGG